ACGACCUUGCUUGAAAAUGAUUUGUUCUAUAGGCUUGUAUAACUGUAUCUUUGAUUUCUCAAGAGAUAGGAAACCAUGUCCAGUGAAUGAAUCGUGGCUGCCUUGCCAGAGUGUGAUUAACAACGUCUAUGUUAGGUUUCUUUCUGGCCACGGUGUGGUAGACUAUUGUUCCUGGUUUGACUUUGGUCCAACUUAGAUGGCUAGACAACUAUCUGACAGAUU